rnacentral:precursor_RNA from 15 species
CGCUAUAUUCAAAGUGACCGUACCGAGCUGCAUACUUCCUUACAUGCCCAUACUAUAUCAUAAAUGGAUAUGGAAUGUAAAGAAGUAUGUAGAACGGGGUGGUAGUGUUUUAAUGGUGAGU